rnacentral:rRNA from 1 species
UACAGAGGGUGCGAACGUUGCUCGGAAUUACUGGGCGUAAAGCGCGUGUAGGCGGGACGGUAAGUCGGGAGUGAAAUCCCCGGGCUCAACCCGGGAACUGCCUUCGAAACUGUCGUCCUCGAGUACCGGAGAGGGUGGCGGAAUUCCUGGUGUAGCGGUGAAAUGCGUAGAUAUCUGGAGGAACACCGGUGGCGAAGGCGGCAUUCUGGACCAUAACUGACACUGAGAGACGAAAGCCAGGGGAGCAAACGGG